CAAUAUUUGGUGGAAUAACUCUGGUUGGUUUUUAAUCACAGUUUUUUUUUUCAUGCAUCUUGGCAUCAUGUUCUCCUCCACCAGUCUUACACACUGCUUUUGGAUAACUUUAUGCUGCUUUACUCCUGGUGCAAAAAGUCAAGCAGUUCAGUUUGGUGGUUUGAUGGUUUGUGAUCAUCCAUCUUCCUCUUGAUUAUAUUCCAGAGGUUUUUAAUUUGAUAAAAUUAAAGAAAAACUUAUAUAUUUUUUCUUUAUCUGUAUAAAGGUAAUUUUAUGAGCUUUGCAGUGUAUGUAGUACUGAAGUGUGUGUUAGCGUUAGCUGUGACUCUGGAUAAGCUGCAGUAUUUUAAUCAGCUGGUUUGUAGUUUUGCAUUAGACACAGGUCAGUGUGUUGUUUGUGUUUCCUCGUGCGCCGACACAAGACCGCAGUGACGCUAAACCCCGCCUCCAAACAUACACACCUGCUGCCCUCAGGUAAAGGUGAGCUGUAGAGAGAGAGAGAGAUACAGAGCUGGAGAUCAGAACUGAGAGGAAGAGGGGGAUCAGCUGAUAAAGAGAUCAGAGAGAAGAUGGCUGAAGAGCAGAAAGAGAAGAGUGCAGCUGAUAGAAGAGAAGCUGAUGAGAGAGACACGAGGAGAGAGAGAUGGAGCGGUGGAGUAAACAGGAGGCGUAGUUUAAUUACAGAAAAAGUAAACUUUCUAUAUCCACCAGGAUUUCUGGGAUGUUCCACCAGGUGUUUCUCCAGGUGAUCCUGCAGGUGUUCCUACAGGUGGAAGCAGCUCAGAUGAAGGAAUCUUGAACUGAAUUCUCCUGAUCAGCUGUUUAUUUCACAUCACAGAAACACACCGAGCUCCUGAUCCUCUCUCUGUAAAUCUCUCUCUCUCUCUUACACUGGAAAAAACACUCUGUUAUUAAUGUAUAUAGAGUUCAGUCUGUUUAUAUAAUACAGCUCUGGAAAAAAAUAAGAGAUCACUUCAGUUUCUGAAUCAGUUUAUCUGAUUUUAUUGUAAUUUAUUGUUAUUUAGAGCAUUUAUUUGCAGGAAAUGAGAAAUGACUGAAAUAACUAAAAAGAUGCAGAGCUUUCAGACCUCAAAUAAUGCAAAGAAAACAAGUUCAUAUUCAUAAAGUUUUAAGAGUUCAGAAAUCAAUAUUUGGUGGAAUAAUCCUGGUGGUUUUUAAUCACAGUUUGUUUUAUGCAUUUUGGCAUCAUGUUCUCCUCCUCCACCAGUCUUACACACUGCUUUUGGAUAACUUUAUGCUGCUUUACUCCUGGUGCAAAAAUUCAAGCAGUUCAGUUUGGUGGUUUGAUGGCUUGUGAUCAUCCAUCUUCCUCUUGAUUAUAUUCCAGAGGGUUUUAAUCUGGUAAUUUUUUUUGGUAAUUUUUAAGUGGCCUCUUUUUCAGAGCUGUUUAUCAAUAUGACUGUAGGUUACAGAUCAGUUAUAAUGUACACUGGUUGUACAGUGUGUAAAUAGAGUUUUACUGUUAUUUUACUGUCAGAUUCUGUAAAUAUUCACAGCACUACAGUACUUUUUAUCUUUUAUCACAAAUUGUAAUGUAAUCUGAUGUAAUCAGUUUUACAAUAUAUAUUUAAUAUAAUAGAUUUAAUAUAACUAAGAUCUUUUUUUCAUCAAUAUAAGAUUCUUUAUUAAAUGAUUAUAUUAUAUUAUUUUAUUUUAUAAUAAAAUAUUUAUUAUUAUAAUCUGAUGCUGUACUGCCCUCUACAGGCUGACAGAGAAAUCAGAUUAAUUUAUAAGAUGUGAUACAAAAAAUAAGGAAGCUUUUAUAAUUUCUGAACACACACUUUACUACUACUGAAACCUGAAGACUAAAUUAAGAAAUUCAUUUAAAACAUUAUGGCUCAGUUGCGCAGAAUAAGGGAUUAUAGUUUAUGAUUAGUUUUAAUCUCUGUCAGGAAAACUGCCACAAAAUGUCCAAAUCACUGGUUGUUCUGGGGGCGGGGCCUCUUAAGGACGAUGGCUUCAGCUGAAAUCUGAUUGGCCCCCUGAAGUGCCCCUGUCCUGUCACUUCUUUUUUAUUAUACACACAAAACAUGCAUGGGAAAUUGGUCAAGAGAUUUAAAGAGUUAAUCUUGUGCCAAAAAAAGCAGUGCAUGAAAAUCCACCAAAAAAAUACAAAAACACAAAAAUCAAAGCAUAAAAUAACAAAAUCUAACCUCAAAUUAUUUUCAACUGCACAGAAUAGUUUAAAGCAUGUUAAAAAUAUAUAUUUUGAAUUAGCAAAAUAUUUUUUUUUCUUUUGAUUCUUAAAAUUUUGAUUGCAGAUUGCACCUUUGGCACAAAUUUAACUCCAUAGAUUUUACUGUGUAAGCUUGUUGUUGCUCAUUAAUCAUAAAAAUCCCACAGCCGCCAUUGAUCUAAAUGUAUAUGGACACCCCGUACUUUAUUAAAGUGGUCAGUUUUCAGUACAUGUUCAGAUCCUGUCUAGACUUUAAAUUGAUUAUUAUGAUCCUGAAAUAAAAAAAAAAAUGUUUCAGUA